rnacentral:rRNA from 1 species
AGUGAACGCUGGCGGCGUGCUUAACACAUGCAAGUCGAACGAGAACGGAUUAUAGCUUGCUAUAAUUGUCAGCUAAGUGGCGCACGGGCGAGUAAUGUAUAGGUAAUAUGCCUCUUACUAAGGGAUAACAAAUGGAAACGUUUGCUAAUACCUUAUACUCCUUAUUAACAGAAGUUAAUAAGGGAAAGAUUUAUUGGUAAGAGAUUAGCCUGUAUUGUAUCAGUUAGUUGGUGGGGUAAUGGCUUACCAAGACUAUGACACAUAACUGGUUUGGGGAGAUGAUCAGUCACACUGGAACUGAGACACGGUCCAGACUCCUACGGGAGGCAGCAGUGGGGAAUAUUGCACAAUGGACGAAAGUCUGAUGCAGCAACGCCGCGUGGAGGAUGACACAUUUCGGUGCGUAAACUCCUUUUAUAUGAGAAGAUAAUGACGGUAUUAUAUGAAUAAGCACCGGCUAACUCCGUGCCAGCAGCCGCCGUAACAC